rnacentral:lncRNA from 1 species
GCCGCUCCCCAAGCUGCUCUCCCGGAGGCCUCGGGGCGCCCCUCCGCCAUCUGCAGCUCCCUGCAGACUUGCAUGCUCAGACGGGAGCUGUCCACCGCCUGCAACAGGAAAAGGGCUUGCUUGCGUGUGGUAACCACCUUCUUCAACGUUUGGUGUGGAGAUUACUGAUGAAGAGCUUGACUUACUACUUGACAGAAUCCCCUUGAUGAAGAUGGAAAUGUCAGAGACCCCCGAUUCAUGCCACGUUGGAUUCUUAGCACUUCUUUUCCACAUUUUCUCAUUUCUUCGUACAUUUUUUAUUCUUGCUUUUAGUACAGAGAAUGUACCCCUCAAAGUGCUAGGAUUAUUUAAAUUUUCUCUUUAUUGGCUGGUAUCUCACUUAUUAAUAUUUUAUAAGUGACAAAGGAUUUUUGAAAAAACAUUGUUAACAAAAAGGUAGCUGUCCCACCAAGAAUACCACGUCCAAGAGCAGGAUUCUCCUUCCAAAGUGUGUGUGUGGACUUGAGAAGCAGCCUUUGGAAGACGGGGCUGCCCAGACUUUAUAGAGCCUACUUCAAUUUCUCGGAGGUCUGCAAUCUCAGGUUGUCAGUCAUCCAGGACCUUGGCUGUUGGUGAGACAGAGUGCUUCCUUUUGGGUGAAGAACUCUGUAUUACUUUCCUAGGGCUGCCAUCAUGAAGCACCACAAACUGGGUGGCUUAAAAUGACAGGAAUGUAUUCUCUCAGAGUUCCAGAGGCUGGAAGUUCAAGAUCAAGGUGUGAGCUGGGGCACGCUCCCUCUGAGCUCCGAAGAAUCCUUCCCUCCCCUUUCCUUGCUUCUCAGGGUGACUGGUAAUCCCUGUGAGCCUUGUUCUGCGGCUGUUCCACUCUCAUCUUUGCCUCUGCUGUCAUAUGGCACACUGCGUGUCUCUGUCUCUGUGUCCAAAUUUCCUUGCUCUCAUAAAGACACCAGUCUUCUCCGAUUGAGGGCUCAACUUACUGCAGUAUGACUUGUCUUAACUAGUAACAUCUCCAACUACCCUAUUUUCAAAUGAAGGCAUAUUCUGAGGUGCAGGGGAUAAGGAUUGUGACAUGUCAUUUGGGGACACAAUUUAACACAUGACAAA